CCGUGUAGGCGCAUAAAAAGGAGGGCGGGCCCGGAUCUGAUCCGGGCCCGCCCUCCUUUUUAUGCGCCUAUGCGU
rnacentral:pre_miRNA from 1 species